GAUCAUGGCUCAGGAUGAACGCUAGCUACAGGCUUAACACAUGCAAGUCGAGGGGCAGCAUGAACAUAGCUUGCUAUGUUUGAUGGCGACCGGCGCACGGGUGCGUAACACGUAUCCAAUCUACCCAUGGCUCGGGGAUAGCCUUUCGAAAGAAAGAUUAAUACCCGAUGGUCUCGGUUUAAGGCAUCUUAGACUGAGUAAAGAUUUAUCGGCAAAGGAUGGGCCUGCGUCUGAUUAGCUAGUUGGUGGGGUAACGGCCUACCAAGGCGACGAUCAGUAGCCGACCUGAGAGGGUGAUCGGCCACAUUGGAACUGAGACACGGCCCAGACUCCUACGGGAGGCAGCAGUGGGGGAUAUUGCACAAUGGAGGAAACUCUGAUGCAGCAACGCCGCGUGAGGGAAGAAGGUUUUCGGAUUGUAAACCUCUGUUUUUAGUGAAGAAACAAAUGACGGUAGCUAAAGAGGAAGCCACGGCUAACUACGUG
rnacentral:rRNA from 1 species